rnacentral:rRNA from 1 species
UGGGGGAUAUUGCACAAUGGGCGAAAGCCUGAUGCAGCGACGCCGCGUGGGGGAUGAAGGCUUUCGGGUUGUAAACCUCUUUCGCUAUCGAACAAGGCCCGCUUAGGGUGGGUUGAGGGUAGGUGGAGAAGAAGCGCCGGCUAACUACGUGCCAGCAGCCGCGGUAAUCCGUAGGGCGCGAGCGUUGUCCGGAAUUAUUGGGCGUAAAGGGCUUGUAGGCGGCUUGUUGCGCCUGCUGUGAAAACGCGGGGCUUAACUUCGCGCGUGCAGUGGGUACGGGCAGGCUUGAGUGUGGUAGGGGUGACUGGAAUUCCAGGUGGAGCGGUGGAAUGCGCAGAUAUCUGGAGGAACACCGAUGGCGAAGGCAGGUCACUGGGCCAUUACUGACGCUGAGGAGCGAAAGCAUGGGUAGCGAACAGG